UUAAGCGACUAAGCGUACACGGUGGAUGCCCUGGCAGUCAGAGGCGAUGAAGGACGUGCUAAUCUGCGAUAAGCGUCGGUGAGGUGAUAUGAACCGUUAUAACCGGCGAUUUCCGAAUGGGGAAACCCAGUGUGUUUCGACACACUAUCAUUAACUGAAUCCAUAGGUUAAUGAGGCGAACCGGGGGAACUGAAACAUCUAAGUACCCCGAGGAAAAGAAAUCAACCGAGAUUCCCCCAGUAGCGGCGAGCGAACGGGGAGCAGCCCAGAGCCUGAAUCAGUGUGUGUGUUAGUGGAAGCGUCUGGAAAGGCGCGCGAUACAGGGUGACAGCCCCGUACACAAAAAUGCACAUGCUGUGAGCUCGAUGAGUAGGGCGGGACACGUGGUAUCCUGUCUGAAUAUGGGGGGACCAUCCUCCAAGGCUAAAUACUCCUGACUGACCGAUAGUGAACCAGUACCGUGAGGGAAAGGCGAAAAGAACCCCGGCGAGGGGAGUGAAAAAGAACCUGAAACCGUGUACGUACAAGCAGUGGGAGCCUCUUUAUGGGGUGACUGCGUACCUUUUGUAUAAUGGGUCAGCGACUUAUAUUCUGUAGCAAGGUUAACCGAAUAGGGGAGCCGAAGGGAAACCGAGUCUUAACUGGGCGUUAAGUUGCAGGGUAUAGACCCGAAACCCGGUGAUCUAGCCAUGGGCAGGUUGAAGGUUGGGUAACACUAACUGGAGGACCGAACCGACUAAUGUUGAAAAAUUAGCGGAUGACUUGUGGCUGGGGGUGAAAGGCCAAUCAAACCGGGAGAUAGCUGGUUCUCCCCGAAAGCUAUUUAGGUAGCGCCUCGUGAAUUCAUCUCCGGGGGUAGAGCACUGUUUCGGCAAGGGGGUCAUCCCGACUUACCAACCCGAUGCAAACUGCGAAUACCGGAGAAUGUUAUCACGGGAGACACACGGCGGGUGCUAACGUCCGUCGUGAAGAGGGAAACAACCCAGACCGCCAGCUAAGGUCCCAAAGUCAUGGUUAAGUGGGAAACGAUGUGGGAAGGCCCAGACAGCCAGGAUGUUGGCUUAGAAGCAGCCAUCAUUUAAAGAAAGCGUAAUAGCUCACUGGUCGAGUCGGCCUGCGCGGAAGAUGUAACGGGGCUAAACCAUGCACCGAAGCUGCGGCAGCGACGCUUAUGCGUUGUUGGGUAGGGGAGCGUUCUGUAAGCCUGCGAAGGUGUGCUGUGAGGUAUGCUGGAGGUAUCAGAAGUGCGAAUGCUGACAUAAGUAACGAUAAAGCGGGUGAAAAGCCCGCUCGCCGGAAGACCAAGGGUUCCUGUCCAACGUUAAUCGGGGCAGGGUGAGUCGACCCCUAAGGCGAGGCCGAAAGGCGUAGUCGAUGGGAAACAGGUUAAUAUUCCUGUACUUGGUGUUACUGCGAAGGGGGACGGAGAAGGCUAUGUUGGCCGGGCGACGGUUGUCCCGGUUUAAGCGUGUAGGCUGAUUUUCCAGGCAAAUCCGGAAAAUCAAGGCUGAGGCGUGAUGACGAGGCACUACGGUGCUGAAGCAACAAAUGCCCUGCUUCCAGGAAAAGCCUCUAAGCAUCAGGUAACAUCAAAUCGUACCCCAAACCGACACAGGUGGUCAGGUAGAGAAUACCAAGGCGCUUGAGAGAACUCGGGUGAAGGAACUAGGCAAAAUGGUGCCGUAACUUCGGGAGAAGGCACGCUGAUAUGUAGGUGAAGCGACUUGCUCGUGGAGCUGAAAUCAGUCGAAGAUACCAGCUGGCUGCAACUGUUUAUUAAAAACACAGCACUGUGCAAACACGAAAGUGGACGUAUACGGUGUGACGCCUGCCCGGUGCCGGAAGGUUAAUUGAUGGGGUUAGCGGUAACGCGAAGCUCUUGAUCGAAGCCCCGGUAAACGGCGGCCGUAACUAUAACGGUCCUAAGGUAGCGAAAUUCCUUGUCGGGUAAGUUCCGACCUGCACGAAUGGCGUAAUGAUGGCCAGGCUGUCUCCACCCGAGACUCAGUGAAAUUGAACUCGCUGUGAAGAUGCAGUGUACCCGCGGCAAGACGGAAAGACCCCGUGAACCUUUACUAUAGCUUGACACUGAACAUUGAGCCUUGAUGUGUAGGAUAGGUGGGAGGCUUUGAAGUGUGGACGCCAGUCUGCAUGGAGCCGGCCUUGAAAUACCACCCUUUAAUGUUUGAUGUUCUAACGUUGGCCCCUGAUCGGGGUUGCGGACAGUGUCUGGUGGGUAGUUUGACUGGGGCGGUCUCCUCCUAAAGAGUAACGGAGGAGCACGAAGGUUGGCUAAUCCUGGUCGGACAUCAGGAGGUUAGUGCAAUGGCAUAAGCCAGCUUGACUGCGAGCGUGACGGCGCGAGCAGGUGCGAAAGCAGGUCAUAGUGAUCCGGUGGUUCUGAAUGGAAGGGCCAUCGCUCAACGGAUAAAAGGUACUCCGGGGAUAACAGGCUGAUACCGCCCAAGAGUUCAUAUCGACGGCGGUGUUUGGCACCUCGAUGUCGGCUCAUCACAUCCUGGGGCUGAAGUAGGUCCCAAGGGUAUGGCUGUUCGCCAUUUAAAGUGGUACGCGAGCUGGGUUUAGAACGUCGUGAGACAGUUCGGUCCCUAUCUGCCGUGGGCGCUGGAGAACUGAGGGGGGCUGCUCCUAGUACGAGAGGACCGGAGUGGACGCAUCACUGGUGUUCGGGUUGUCAUGCCAAUGGCACUGCCCGGUAGCUAAAUGCGGAAGAGAUAAGUGCUGAAAGCAUCUAAGCACGAAACUUGCCCCGAGAUGAGUUCUCCCUGAGACUUAGAGUCUCCUGAAGGAACGUUGAAGACGACGACGUUGAUAGGCCGGGUGUGUAAGCGCAGCGAUGCGUUGAGCUAACCGGUACUAAUGAACCGUGAGGCUUAACCUU
rnacentral:rRNA from 1 species